rnacentral:rRNA from 1 species
UACGGAGGGGGCUAGCGUUGUUCGGAAUUACUGGGCGUAAAGCGCACGUAGGCGGCUUUGUAAGUUAGAGGUGAAAGCCCGGGGCUCAACUCCGGAAUUGCCUUUAAGACUGCAUCGCUAGAAUUGUGGAGAGGUAAGUGGAAUUCCGAGUGUAGAGGUGAAAUUCGUAGAUAUUGGGAAGAACACCAGUGGCGAAGGCGGCUCACUGGUCCGAUACUGACGCUGAGGUGCGAAAGCGUGGGGAGCAAACAGG